GAUGAACGCUGGCGGCGUGCCUAAUACAUGCAAGUCGAGCGAACAGACGAGGAGCUUGCUCCUCUGACGUUAGCGGCGGACGGGUGAGUAACACGUGGAUAACCUACCUAUAAGACUGGGAUAACUUCGGGAAACCGGAGCUAAUACCGGAUAAUAUAUUGAACCGCAUGGUUCAAUAGUGAAAGCCGGUUUUGCUGUCACUUAUAGAUGGAUCCGCGCCGCAUUAGCUAGUUGGUAAGGUAACGGCUUACCAAGGCAACGAUGCGUAGCCGACCUGAGAGGGUGAUCAGCCACACUGGAACUGAGACACGGUCCAGACUCCUACGGGAGGCAGCAGUAGGGAAUCUUCCGCAAAGGGCGAAAGCUUGACGGAGCAACGCCGCGUGAGUGAUGAAGGUCUUCGGAUCGUAAAACUCUGUUAGUAGGGAAGAACAAAUGUGUAAGUAACUAUGCACGUCUUGACGGUACCUAAUCAGAAAGCAACGGCUAACUACGUG
rnacentral:rRNA from 1 species